UAUGCAGAUGAGCACAUUCACAACAGUCCAUGAGUCUCAGUUUAAUGUGGGAAUGUUAGCUGUCCGUAAAUUUGCAACUGUUCACUGGAAUCUCUAAAUUCAAAAUAAAAAAGAUGCAGGUCAACAAUAAAUACAACUCCAAUAUUUAAACAAGGGCUUUGCUCGAAUGAAUAACACUAAAAUUAACCAAGAUCCAUUGAAGACAAAGAAACUGCAAAUGCUGAACUCCAUGGUGGACAAACAGGAGGCUGGAAGAGCACAGCAAGCCGGGCAGCAUCUGGAGGAAAGGAGCAGUCAACUCUUUCGGGAGGAAACCUACGCAGGCUCUGGGAGAACAUACAAACUCCAUGCAGACCAUUGCGCAAGGCUCGAAUCGAAUACAGAAACCUGGUGCUGUGAGGCAGCAAUGCGAAC